CAGUGUGAUGGAAGACAGGAGAAGCUGCACCAGGUUGAGCAGAGAAAGGUGUCGUAAAAGUACGGCCACUACUGUCAGAAA